ensembl:lncRNA
AUUUUAGUUUGUGGUGUCCUGUGUGUUCCCCACGUCACCCGUGUUCCCCGCGUCACCCGUGUUCCUUGCCUUUUGAGCAAAUAAAUUAUCCUUUUACCUAAACUGUCUGCGAUUGGGUCCUACCUGCCUGCCUGCCACCCGCUAACCGUAACAGAAUGAUCCGACCAUCAUUGGACCCAGCGGACGCUUUUUUUUUGUUGGAGGCUGUGUUGGGGCGUACGUGAAGCGCUGUAGCUUCAAGUCGUGUCGCCUUACUGACUAUCAGAGUGAGGGCGCUGAGUUUGGAGUGCCAUCCGGUUCAACAUUUCUCUCCAGCCCCUGAGCUGACUCCAGUCCCCGAGCCCUGUCCGGUUCCUGAACCCUACUCCUUCCCGAGGGGGCCCGCCUUCUAAACCUUCCAGAAGGGGCCCGCCCUCUACCUUGCUUUCCCGAGGGGUUCCGCCUUCCAGACCUUCCAGAAGGGGCCCGCCAUCUACCUUGUCUUCGCCGAUGCCGGCCACCUGUGGGUCUUCGCAGUUGCAGGCCUCCAGACAUUUUUUUUUGUUCCCUCCUCCUGGCUCCACUCCACCCACCCUAUUUGGAUUUGACUCUUUUUUUUGCAUGUCGUGGGUCACCUGGUAGUUGACCCUUGAGGGGGGGGGGGUACUGUCAUGGUCUGUCUGUUUCCUUGUCUUGUUUUGGUGUGUUACCUGUUUUACUUUGGUAUCGGUCUCGUUUCUCCCCGUGUCAGGUUUCCCUCCUGUGUGAUUACUGCUCCCUCCCUAAUGUGUCUCAGCUGUUACUCGUUGUGUACCAUGUGUGUGUUUGGUAUUUAAGCCCUUGUCUUUCCUUUGUUCCUUGUCGGAUCAUUUAAGUUUGUGGUGAGUUGUGUCCUGUGUGUUACCUGUGUUCCCUGUUACCCGCGUCACCCGUGUCACCCGUGUUCCUUGCCUUUUGAGUAAAUAAAUUAUCCUUUUACCUGAACUGUCUGCGAUUGGGUCCUACCUGCCUGCCUGCCACCCGCUAACCGUGACACAGACAACGCAGCGAUAUCAUCAUGAGCAGUUCUAACUGGAGAGAGACUGAAACCGCAAGCCUGUGAUCAUGUAAGAUCUAGGAGAGAGACGCAGAG